rnacentral:rRNA from 1 species
AUUGAACGCUGGCGGCAGGCCUAACACAUGCAAGUCGAACGAGUGGCGGACGGGUGCGUAAUGUUUGGGAAACUGCCCGCUGGAGGGGGAUACCUCAUGGAAACGGUCGCUAAUACCGCAUCCCAUCGGAUGUGCCCAGAUGGGAUUAGCUUGUAUGUGAGGUAAAGGCUCACCUAGGCGACGAUCCCAAGAUGGUCUGAGAGGAUGACCGGCCACACUGGAACGUUGACACGGUCGAUACUCCUGUGGGAGGCAGCAGUGGGGAAUAUUGCGCAAGGGGCGAAAGCCUGAUGCAGCCCUGCCGGGUGUAUGAAGAGGUCCUUAGGGUUUUAAAGUACUUUCAGCUGGUAGGCGUUACCCGCGGAAGAGGCACAGGCUAACACCGUGCCAGCCGCCGCGGUAAUUC